rnacentral:rRNA from 1 species
GAUUAAGUACUAAGUAGANNNCCCAACANUAGUUGAUUACANUGAACAAGUUACUGUAGGGAUAACAGCGUAAUAUAUAUCUAAAGUUCUUAUUUUGAUAUAAGUUUGCGACCUCGAUGUUGAAUUNAUAUUACUUUCAAGCGCAAGAGCCUGAAAAGUAGGUCUGUUCGACCCCUAAAUAUAUACAUGAUUUGAGUUCAAAUCGGUGUAAACCAGAUUGGUUUCUAUCUAUUNUUAUUUGUGUCUUAGUACGAAAGGACCUGAAACAAUAUUAUAUAAUNAUUUAUAUGGCAGAAAAAUGCUUUAGAUUUAGGAUCUAAUUAUAAUAGAUUAUUAUACUCUAUUUAACUUGCCUAAUCUCUGUUAUUAGAAUCCUUAUCGCAGUAGCUUUUUAUACCCUCCUAGAGCGAAAAAUUCUAAGCUACAUCCAAAUUCG